rnacentral:rRNA from 1 species
GAUGAACGCUGGCGGCGUGCCUAAUACAUGCAAGUCGAACGCUGGAAAUCUAGCUUGCUAGAUUGAAGGAGUGGCGAACGGGUGAGUAAUACAUAAGCAACCUACCCACGAAGUCUGGGAUAAUCUCUGGAAACGGGGACUAAUACCGGAUAGGUAAUCGGAAGGCAUCUUCUGAUUAUUAAAUGUUAAAAACACUGGUGGAUGGGCUUAUGGCGCAUUUGUUAGUUGGUGAGGUAACGGCCCACCAAGACGAUGAUGCUUAGCCGGCCGGAGAGGGUGAACGACCAGAUUUGGACUGAGGCCCGGCCCAGACGCCUACGGGAGGCAGCAGUAGAGAAGAUUCGGCGAUGGGGGAAACCCUAACCGAGCAACGCGGGGUGAGUGAUGACGGCGUUCGGGAUGUAAAGCUGUGGUGUAAGGGAAGAACGGUAGAUAGAGAAUAUCUAAAUGACGGUACCUUAACAGAAAGCCACGGCUAACUACGUG